CUACGGGCUACAUUGCAUCGAGUUCGAAUCAUUCGCUCGACUGCCAAGCCUACGGGCUACCUUUAUUUCGAGUUCGAGCAAUCACUCACUCGACCAUUAAGCCUACGGGCUACUUUGACUAUUAUGCCUACGGGCUACAUUGCAUUGAGUUCGAAUCAUUCGCUCGACUGCCAAGCCUAUGAGCUACCUUUAUUUCGAGUUCGAGCAAUCACUCACUCGACCAUUAAGCCUACGGGCUACUUUGACUAUUACGCCUACGGGCUACAUUGCAUCGAGUUCGAAUCAUUCACUCGACUACUAAGCCUACGGGCUACCUUUAUUUCGAGUUCGAGCAAUCACUCACUCGACCAUUAAGCCUAUGGGCUACUUUGACUAUUACGCCUACGGGCUACAUUGCAUCGAGUUCGAAUCAUUCGCUCGACUUCCAAGCCUACGGGCUACCUUUAUUUCGAGUUCGAGCAAUCACUCACUCGACCAUUAAGCCUACGGGCUACUUUGACUAUUACGCCUACGGGCUACAUUGCAUCGAGUUCGAAUCAUUCGCUCGACUUCCAAGCCUACGGGCUACCUUUAUUUUAGUUCGAGCAAUCACUCACUCGACCAUUAAGCCUACAGGCUACUUUAACUAUUACGCCUACGGGCUACAUUGCAUCAAGUUCUAAUCAUUCACUCGAUUGCCAAGCCUACGGGCCACCUUUAUUUCGAGUUCGAGCAAUCACUCAGUCGACCAUUAAGCCUAUGGUCUACUUUAACUAUUACGCCUACGGGCUAUAUUGCAUCGAGUUUGAAUCAUUCACUCGAUUGCCAAGCCUACGGGUUACCUUUAUUUCGAGUUCGAGCAAUCACUCACUAGACCAUUAAGCCUACGGGCUACUUUAACUAUUACGCCUACGGGCUACUUUAACUAUUAGUUCGAAUCAUUCACUCGAUUGCCAAGCCUACGGGCUACCUUUAUUUCGAGUUCGAGCAAUCACUCACUCGACCAUUAAGCCUACGGGCUACUU
rnacentral:lncRNA from 1 species